rnacentral:lncRNA from 1 species
CGAAGGAGUUUGGCAGAGUUGGAAGAGGAAAACUUAAUGUUGGACAAUGAAAGGUUGCGUGAAGAAACCAAAAAAAUAAAGAUGGAACAAGAAAAUUUGAAAUUGGCAAAAGAAGUUUUUAUCCUGAAAAAACAAACUUUAAUCUGUAAACUUCAGUCUGAGUUUCCUGACUGUGUACAAAUUUUAAAUGAACCAUAAUUACAACAUGUUUAUUAGGCC